UUCUUUAAAUGGGGACUCGUAUCAACGGCAUCACGAGGGUUCUACUGUCUCCUUUCUCUAAUCAGUGAAACUAAUCUCCCCGUGAAGAAGCGAGGAUAACACUAUAAGACGAGAAGACCCCAUGGAGCUUUAAACCCAAUUAUAUCCCUAACCCCUAUACCCAUUUAACCUCUUAGGCCUAUAUACUUGGUUUUAGGUUGGGGCGACCACGGAGUAAAACCAAACCUCCAUGAUGUACGGAACAACCUCCUUAUCUAAGAGCCACAGCUCUAAGAAUUAGCACACUAUCAUAAAAUGACCCAUUAUUGAUCAACGAACCAAGUUACCCUGGGGAUAACAGCGCAAUCCAUUUUAA
rnacentral:rRNA from 1 species